AUUGAACGCUGGCGGCAGGCUUAACACAUGCAAGUCGAGCGGGGUGAUGGUGCUUGCACUAUCACUUAGCGGCGGACGGGUGAGUAAUGCUUAGGAAUCUGCCUAUUAGUGGGGGACAACAUCUCGAAAGGGAUGCUAAUACCGCAUACGUCCUACGGGAGAAAGCAGGGGAUCACUUGUGACCUUGCGCUAAUAGAUGAGCCUAAGUCGGAUUAGCUAGUUGGUGGGGUAAAGGCCUACCAAGGCGACGAUCUGUAGCGGGUCUGAGAGGAUGAUCCGCCAAACUGGGACUGAGACACGGCCCAGAAUCCUACGGGAGGCAGCAGUGGGGGAUAUUGGACAAUGGGGGGAACCCUGAUCCAGCCAUGCCGCGUGUGUGAAGAAGGCCUUAUGGUUGUAAAGCACUUUAAGCGAGGAGGAGGCUCUUUUGGUUAAUACCCAAGAUGAGUGGACGUUACUCGCAGAAUAAGCACCGGCUAACUCUGUGCCAGCCGCCGCUGUAA
rnacentral:rRNA from 1 species